CCAAUAGCGUAUAUUAAAGUUGUUGCAGUUAAAAAGCUCGUAGUUGAAUUUCGGGAUUGGCGCAUCGGUCGUGCCUUACGGGGUAUGAACUGGUGCAGUCAAUUUCUCACCUUCUGGAGAACCGCGAUGUCCUUAAUUGGGUGCCGCGGGGAACCAGGACCUUUACUUUGAAAAAAUUAGAGUGUUUAAAGCAGGCAUUUUUGCUUGAAUACAUUAGCAUGGAAUAAUAAAAUAGGACGGCAUGGUUCUAUUUUGUUGGUUUCUAGGACCACCGUAAUGAUUAAUAGGGAUAGUUGGGGGAAUUAGUAUUCAAUUGUCAGAGGUUAAAUUCUUGGAUUUAUUGAAGACUAACUACUGAGAAAGCAUUUGCCAAGGAUGUUUUCAUUAAUCAAGAACGAAAGUUAGGGGAUCGAAGACGAUCAGAUACCGUCGUAGUCUUAACCAUAAACUAUGCAGACUAGGAAUCAGACGAUGUUAAUUUUUUAAUGACUCGUUUGGCACCUUACG
rnacentral:rRNA from 1 species